CUCCUACGGGGGGCAGCAGUGGGGGAUAUUGCACAAUGGGGGAAACCCUGAUGCAGCGACGCCGCGUGAGUGAAGAAGUAUUUCGGUAUGUAAAGCUCUAUCGGCAGGGAAGAAAAAAAUGACAGUACCUGACUAAGAAGCCCCGGCUAAAUACGUGCCAGCAGCCGCGGUAAUACGUAGGGGGCAAGCGUUAUCCGGAUUUACUGGGUGUAAAGGGAGAGGAGGCGGCCACGCAAGACAGAAGGGAAAACCCGGGGCUCAAACCUGGGGGGGG
rnacentral:rRNA from 1 species